rnacentral:rRNA from 1 species
UACAGAGGUGGCAAGCGUUGUUCGGAAUUACUGGGCGUAAAGGGCGCGUAGGCGGCCUUCUAAGUCAGACGUGAAAUCCCCAGGCUUAACUUGGGAACUGCGUCUGAUACUGGGAGGCUUGAGUGCGGGAGAGGGAUGUGGAAUUCCAGGUGUAGCGGUGAAAUGCGUAGAUAUCUGGAGGAACACCGGUGGCGAAGGCGGCAUCCUGGACCGAUAUUGACGCUGAGGAGCGAAAGCUAGGGGAGCAAACGGG